AUCAAUGCUUCUAUUUAAUUUCUUAUCUAUAUUUCCUGGGCUUGACACUGAAUUGUUUUAGUGGAAAUAUAGUAGUCUGUCUGCUGAGAAUAUUACCUUGGUAAAAAUUGAGAGUGAGCCACAAAAUAUACAAAUAGAAAGCAGCAGCUUUUCUUCUUUCUGAUAAUACAUUACACAAGUGGAGUAAAGAACCAUCUGCAUUACUCUUAAAAGUAAACCACAUCAGCAUAACUUCACCUUAGCUUAACUGGUUUCCCAACACUGCUAAGUGCAUGAAAAGUGUGUGCUUUCCAGUCAUGUAGAGGUAUUAAUCAAUAUAUUUAGACUACAAAACCUGUAUAUUGAACAGAGGCUAGAGAAACCAUGUCACUGGCAUAAAGCACUACCAAAACUGUUGUGUUUGCCUUUAUAACUCAAAGCUUCCACGAACCUUCACAGCAUACAAAUAUGGCACUCUUCCAAACCAGGAGGAAAACUACAGACAAUGUUGCAGUGGGUUUUUUCCGCUUUUUUAACAAUCCUUAUCUUGGAAUUGAGCACUAUAUUGCUCUUCCUGUAAUCUGAAGCAGCUGUUUGUUUUCUCAGUUGUAACUGUUAGCCACAGUUAGCAUGAAUAUAAAGCUGUACAAAGCAGGGGAGAAGGCCUGGAGUACUUCUUUAGAGCAGAUUCAUUCUACAGACUAUGCUUCUGCUUUUAUGUCAUAAUCAAAGCAACACAAACCAAGGUGAACAGUGGCAUCUAAGAGAUCUCUAUGGCCAUCAAGAAGUGCAGCCAUGAAAGAAAUCCCUUUUGAAACCUAUUAUCCCAGUGGUAUCUUGUUCCAUUAUAGCUCUAAAAAAAAAAUCAGCAUUCUUUGGAAAUGUGCUGAAUGUGAGGAAAAUGGAACAUUCUUCCCCAUCUGCUGGAAAUACUCUAAAUGGUUGAACUUGCUGGAAGGAACUCAGCAGGAGCCAGGAACUGCUGCUUCCCAGGGGACAAGAUCCCACCACCAUACCGUCAAUAGCUCAUCUGUAUGUGAGGAUCUCUGAUUCUGGGGAAGAUCUACAUUUUUUUUCCAUACUUUUAUACACCAGCAAGACAAUGUACUCCUACACCAGUCUGGGAAAUACGAGUGAGAGAACAAAACAGAAAAGAAAUCACAAAACAUACCAAGCUCUAUUCUUGGAAGUUAAAGUUUGACUACAAAUAUUCACAACAGAAUUUCAAGUAACAAUGACAAUUUCUACAUUGGGGCCUUGGCUCUAAAAUAAAUGGUUCACAAAUUAGUGAAAGAGAUGCUCUCAGACUAAGAUUCAUAUGUCUCUGGAUUAUCUCUUAAAGCAAGCUUUCAGUGCUAUUGGCACUAUGGAAGAGUUUCAAUACUGACAAACUGGGCUUGAUUAUGCACAACCACCAUCAUUUUUGUUUGCUAAAUUAUGACUACAAAGCACUUGUUAUGCCAUGUUGGUAAGGAACUCUGUCACUUUGGAUUUUUGGAAGAAUUUGAUUUGUUACAUAGCUAAGUGAUAAUAUAAAUUGAGGACAAAAGUAUUUUUAGGUCAUUAACUUUCUCCUAAAAUAAUUCUUAAAAUGAACUAUUUUGACAGACUUAUGCUGGAAAACUUGUAAAUACAACAGGCAUUCUGCUAAAGGGAGCAGAAUUAACAGGAAACAGGAAAAUACAUGAAUGUGAAUUUGGCAAUGGCAAAGGACAAAAAGAUCAAGAGGAGAUAAAAGAAAGGAAAAGCUCUUUACAAAUGGUAAAGAAUGGUAAAUAAAUGGUAGGGUAGUGGAAGAAGAGAAGAUAGAUCAGUAAGACC